AUUGAACGCUGGCGGCAUGCUUUACACAUGCAAGUCGAACGGCAGCGGGGUAGUGCUUGCACUACUGUCCGGCGAGUGGCGAACGGGUGAGUAAUAUAUCGGAACGUACCGAGUAAUGGGGGAUAACCAAUCGAAAGAUUGGCUAAUACCGCAUACGUCCUACGGGAGAAAGCGGGGGAUCGCAAGACCUCGCGUUAUUCGAGCGGCCGAUAACUGAUUAGCUAGUUGGUGGGGUAAAGGCCUACCAAGGCGACGAUCAGUAGCGGGUCUGAGAGGACGAUCCGCCACACUGGGACUGAGACACGGCCCAGACUCCUACGGGAGGCAGCAGUGGGGAAUUUUGGACAAUGGGGGCAACCCUGAUCCAGCCAUGCCGCGUGUAUGAAGAAGGCCUUCGGGUUGUAAAGUACUUUUGUUAGGGAAGAAAAGGGAAGUGCUAAUACCACUUUUUGCUGACGGUACCUAAAGAAUAAGCACCGGCUAACUACGUGCCAGCAGCCGCGGUAAUACGUAGGGUGCGAGCGUUAAUCGGAAUUACUGGGCGUAAGGCGAGCGCAGACGGUUAUUUAAGCAGGAUGUGAAAUCCCCGGGCUUAACCUGGGAACUGCGUUCUGAACUGGAUAGCUAGAGUGUGUCAGAGGGGGGUAGAAUUCCACGUGUAGCAGUGAAAUGCGUAGAGAUGUGGAGGAAUACCGAUGGCGAAGGCAGCCCCCUGGGAUAACACUGACGUUCAUGCUCGAAAGCGUGGGUAGCAAACAGG
rnacentral:rRNA from 1 species